CAAGUCAACUUUUCACAAUCCACCAUCAAACUUUUCCAACAAAAUAUUACCUAGCAUUGCUUGGGUGAUCGUGAGUGGCAUGAAAUUGCUUAAGCUGCUCCCACGUAAGCUCCGGGAUGCACAGUGGGUCACCCCCAGAGACCACUGAGUACGUGUGGUGGGGAAGAAAUCUGUUUUGAAGGUGCUGGGAGAAUAUCCUCUCAUUGUCUGUCUUGAAAUGUGAAGUAAAUAAAUAAGAAUAUGUACAUAUAAACUAAUACACACACACUACAUUACUUACAAUAUAGCCAAUCGAUCACAUUCUGGUGCAUAUGCCUGUAAUACUCUGCAAAUAAAACUGUUCUAAUGGUAAAAAAAAAAAAAACAAAAAAAAAAAAAAACCCACCCCUGCAGGCAUUGUUUAACACUGUAUUCAAUCACUCAUCACCCAUGCACAGGAUCCAAGGAUUGAGAACAAUGGACUUUUUGAUGUGUGUUGCAACAAACUCAUAGCGGAUGGCUGUAAAUCGGAGGGAUCACCAGGUCUGCCUACCAGCCACCAGGCAAGUGGGGAGAAGCUGUCACCCCAACUUGAGUUUCAAGAAGACUCCUUGGAAGAAAAGACCACCAAAUUGAGAAUGAAAAGAUCAUACGCGGGGGUCGUCAGACAUGGUCUGAGACUCUGGGAAGAACAGCAGCUUGGCCCUGCUACCCCCUGGCUUCUGCUCACAGCACUGACCCCAGCUAAUCCAAGAACAUGUCACCUAUAAUGAGAA